GAAUAAAUAUAAUUUUCCAUAAAGUGGAAAACUUUGAAACCAUUUCCUGAUAAUGUCAUACUUUUUAAAUAAAAUAAUUACUAGUUUUUUGACCUGGUCUGUUAUGCACCUGGUCAUGUGUCUCUUUUGGCGGUGUAUGCGAUUCAUUUCACACAUUUUCGCAAUACGGAUAUACAGUUACAUUAUGAAGGCGAAAUUCCCCCACGUCCAUUUAAGGAGGGCUACUUGGGGGUGGUGGUAGUGGUGGGUCAUACUCAAAACAGGGCGUACGCAACAAGUUGAGGAGCCAAGACACACAGUACACAUGUAUGACUAAUGUCUCGGAAGAAGAAGAGAGCAACGUGCAGAACAACAAAUCAACACAAGCAACAAUAAAUGGAGAAUGCGGAGAAUUGUAAUCCAAUUAAUGGGCUGCGUCUUCAAUGUCUCUCGCAUACCCCCAGAAACGUGAGCUCCGCCCGCCAGCGUAUUAAAAUAUUGCCAUUUCUUAGAGACAGUGGGCAUUGGCUAAAUCAAAAAUAAACUGGCAGAACAGAGUCAGUGUAGUGUCUCUACUGUAGAUAUUGGCUAAAUGAGAUACAAAUAUUACCUACAGCUCAAAAAAUAAACUGGUAGAAAAGAGACAGUAGAUAUUGGCUAAUUGAGAUACAACUAUUUUAUUAAAAUUUUAUAAUAAAUAAGUAAUAACUACUGUUAUCCCAUUAAUGUCAUUGCAGCUCAAAAAUAAACUGGCAGAACACUAGAAAAUGAAAAUAAACAAAUGGAAUGAAAGGUCUGUCUGUCGAUUUCAAAGUCUGUGGCGAGUGUGAAUGAGUGCAGAGACAAGCGCCAGUUUAUCUUUUCUUUUGCCCCGAAUUACAACAACAAACAAGAGAACAAAAACAAUAACAAACAAAUAGCGAAUUUUUCGAAAAAAUAAUCAUUUUCGAGAUUUUUGUUAUUCGGGAAAUGACAAAGACAGGCG